GAUGAAGAACGCAGCGAAAUGCGAUAAGUAAUGUGAAUUGCAGAAUUCAGUGAAUCAUCGAAUCUUUGAACGCACAUUGCGCCCGCCAGUAUUCUGGCGGGCAUGCCUGUUCGAGCGUCAUUGCUGCCCUCAAGCACGGCUUGUGUGUUGGGCCUCCGUCCUCCUCCCGGGACGGGCCCGAAAGGCAGCGGCGGCACCGCGUCCGGUCCUCGAGCGUAUGGGGCUUCGUCACCCGCUCUUGUAGGCCCGGCCGGCGCUUGCCGACACAUCAAUCUUUUUUCCAGGUUGACCUCGGAUCAGGUAGGGAUACCCGCUGAACUUAAGCAUAUCAUAAGCGGAGGA
rnacentral:misc_RNA from 1 species